AACUCUCAACUGCAAUCAGUUUUGUAGAUUGGUUGUAGCUUGGAUAUGGGGUGUUUCUGCAGGCUUCACCAUUGAAGUCGGCUCCCCUGAAAUGCAUUAGCGGAACCGUUUGCGGUCAGUCGCCGGUGUGAUAAUUAUCUGCGCCUAAGACAAAUGCUGCUCUCUGUUUGUUCAGCUUACAAUGGUCUUUCGGGACAACUUUUGAAU
rnacentral:misc_RNA from 1 species